rnacentral:rRNA from 1 species
AGGGUUUGAUCAUGGCUCAGAACGUACGCUGGCGGCACGCCUAAUACAUGCAAGUCGAACGAAGUAGCAAUACUUAGUGGCAGACGGGUGAGUAACAUGUAGGUAUCUUCCCUUUGGUGAGGAAUAACACGAGGAAACUUGUGCUAAUACCUCAUAAGUCUUUACAGAGAAAGCUUUACGCGCCAAUGGAUGAGCCUGCACUUGAUUAGUUUGUUGGUAGGGUAAUGGCCUACCAAGACAAUGAUCAAUAGCUGAUUUGAGAGGAUGAUCAGCCACAUUGGGACUGAGACACGGCCCAAACUCCUACGGGAGGCAGCAGUAGGGAAUCUUGCACAAUGGGGGAAACCCUGAUGCAGCGAUGCCGCGUGAGUGAAGAAGGCCUUUGGGUUGUAAAGCUCUUUCGUCGGGGAAGAAAAUGACUGUACCCGAAUAAGAAGGUCCGGCUAACUUCGUGCCAGCAGCCGCGGUAAUACGAAGGGACCUAGCGUAGUUCGGAAUUACUGGGCUUAAAGAGUUCGUAGGUGGUUAAAAUAGUUGGUGGUGAAAUCCCAGAGCUUAGCUCUGGAACUGCCAUCAAAACUUUUUAGCUAGAGUAUGAUAGAGGAAAGCAGAAUUUCUAGUGUAGAGGUGAAAUUCGUAGAUAUUAGAAAGAAUACCAAUUGCGAAGGCAGCUUUCUGGAUCAUUACUGACACUGGGGAACGAAAGCAUGGGUAGCGAAGAGGAUUAGAUACCCUCGUAGUCCAUGCCGUAAACGAUGUGUGUUAGACGUUGGAAAUUAUUUUCAGUGUCGCAGCGAAAGCAAUAAACACACCGCCUGGGGAGUACGACCGCAAGGUUAAAACUCAAAUGAAUUGACGGGGACCCGCACAAGUAGUGGAGCAUGUGGUUUAAUUCGAAGAUACGCGCAGAACCUUACCAACACUUGACAUGUUCGUCGCGACUUUAAGAGAUUAAAGUUUUCGGUUCGGCCGGACGAAACACAGGUGCUGCAUGGCUGUCGUCAGCUCGUGUCGUGAGAUGUUGGGUUAAGUCCCGCAACGAGCGCAACCCUCACUUUUAGUUGCCAUCAUUAAGUCGGGCACUCUGAAAGAACUGCCAGUGAUAAGUUGGAGGAAGGUGGGGAUGACGUCAGGUCCUCAUGGCCCUUACGUGUUGGGCUACACACGUGCUACAAUGGCAUUUACAAUAGGAAGCAAAACGGCGACGUUAAGCAAAUCCUAAAAAAAUGCCUCAGUUCGGAUUGUACUCUGCAACUCGAGUACAUGAAGCUGGAAUUACUAGUAAUCGCGGAUCAGCGCGCCGCGGUGAAUACGUUCCCGGGUCUUGUACACACCGCCCGUCACACCAUGGGAGUUGGUUCUACCUUAAGGCAAAGGUUAAAAACUUUGACCACGGUAUAGUCAGCGACUGGGGUGAAGUCGUAACAAGGUAGCC